rnacentral:rRNA from 1 species
UGGGGAAUCUUGCGCAAUGCGCGAAAGCGUGACGCAGCAACGCCGCGUGGGGGAAGAAGGCCUUCGGGUUGUAAACCCCUUUCAGUUGGGACGAAGCUUCGCCGGUUAAUAGCCGGCUGGAGUGACGUUACCUUCAGAAGAAGCCCCGGCUAACUACGUGCCAGCAGCCGCGGUAAUACGUAGGGGGCUAGCUUUGUCCGGAAUCAUUGGGCGGAAAGCGCGUGUAGGCGGCCCGGUAAGUCCGCUGUGAAAGUCGGGGGCUCAACCCUCGGAUGGCGGUGGAUACUGUCGGGCUCGAGUACGGAAGAGGCUAGUGGAAUUCCUGGUGUAGCGGUGAAAUGCGCAGAUAUCAGGAGGAACACCAAUUGCGAAGGCAGCUCGCUGGGACGUUACUGACGCUGAGACGCGAAAGCGUGGGGAGCAAACAGG